AGGAGCCAUAUGAGGUGAAAAUCUCAUGUACGGUUCUUCUGUUAUCUGUAGAGUGGCAAUAAGGGUGACUUAUAUGUCAACUUUUCCACUAUCACCCCCAAAAAACCAAACUCUACCUUAU
rnacentral:ncRNA from 1 species